UACGAAGGGGGCUAGCGUUGUUCGGAAUCACUGGGCGUAAAGCGCACGUAGGCGGAUGUGUCAGUCAGGGGUGAAAUCCCGGGGCUCAACCUCGGAACUGCCUCUGAUACAGCACAUCUUGAGUCCGGAAGAGGUGGGUGGAAUUCCUAGUGUAGAGGUGAAAUUCGUAGAUAUUAGGAAGAACACCGGUAGCGAAGGCGGCCCACUGGUCCGGUACUGACGCUGAGGUGCGAAAGCGUGGGGAGCGAACCGG
rnacentral:rRNA from 1 species